rnacentral:lncRNA from 1 species
CACGGGCCUGUCUCUUUGUUGACGCUGGAGAAAUUGCGGUAAUUUUUGAGACGGCGCUCCUCAUUGGCUACUGUGGACCUGCAAUAUUCUGUUCACUGUACGAGCGCCUAAGAUUGGCUACGUUGGAUCUGCAAUGCGUCAAGCAAUGGCGCCUAAUGUUACCUCAGUGGUUUUGGAAAAUGGUGUAACCGGACAGUCUACAUUGUAACACAGAGUAUUUUUGCAAUACUGUAAUCAUUGCUUACGACAAGACGUUUCUUUCAGUCUUUGUAGUUUCUCAAAAUGUUUCCUCCUCACCUGGCAAGGGCUCGAUUUGAGUUUUUCGGGAGGAGUGGUGGUGAUUGGCGAUUGGUCACCGCAAACAUACACGGAACAUGUAGUCGCGGAAUUUUAAAUGGCGGGUUUCGAUGAAGGAAUAUAGAAUUACAAUAUUAGAAAGCUUGUGCUGAUUCCAAGUCUAUUUUGUAAAUUAGACCAGUACUGGAUACAAAAAUCAAGAUUUACCAAUUUACUAUGGCUAAAUAAACUGUUUAAUAGUAAUGAUGAUUGAUUUUAGACAAUUAUCUCGCAGCCUGCAACAAUCAAUGGACUGGCAAACCAUUGAAUUAACGAUGAAUCCCAACAACAUUCACGCUUUAAUCAGUUUAUGGAAGUGACUGAUUGAUUCAUGCUCAAAGAUGAAUAGGCUAAACUAAAUCAUAAAAUGUGCCAUCAAGAUAACAUGAUUUAGCCUAAAAUUAUAGCUACUACCCCUCCAACAAACCACAGUCGCUUCCGAGAUGACGUCAUACUUAUCCGACUGUUUACAUGCAGAGGAGAACAACACAUGGCUCUAUUUCCAGCUUUUGUACGAUUAUCAAAUGCAAAACCUGAGAAUGCACCUAAAGUGAGGAGGUGCAGUGUCAGCUGGAGGGGUCUUUUGUGUGGCUGGAUGACCUCUAGUCCCCCACCGAUUGGCCCUUCUGCGUGGACAGAAGAGCAGACCUUUCCAACUUGGAGUACAAAUCGCUCUACAGAGAAGACAUCGCUCUACAGAGAAGACAUCGCUAGGACGAGGUGUCGAGUGCCCCCGGGGUGUUUGGUGACAUCUCUGAGAAUGAGAGCGCCAGAAGAGGUCAGCGAGGCCAUGCAUUUUGGAUCGAGCGGUGGACAGUAA